rnacentral:rRNA from 1 species
CUAAGUUUGAUGGCGACCGGCGCACGGGUGGAGUAACACGUAUCCAACCUGCCGAUGACUCGGGGAUAGCCUUUCGAAAGAAAGAUUAAUACCCGAUGGCAUAGUUCUUCCGCAUGGUGGAACUAUUAAAGAAUUUCGGUCAUCGAUGGGGAUGCGUUCCAUUAGGUUGUUGGCGGGGUAACGGCCCACCAAGCCUUCGAUGGAUAGGGGUUCUGAGAGGAAGGUCCCCCACAUUGGAACUGAGACACGGUCCAAACUCCUACGGGAGGCAGCAUG